rnacentral:rRNA from 1 species
UACGUAGGGGGCGAGCGUUGUCCGGAGUUACUGGGCGUAAAGGGCAUGCAGGCGGUCGGACGCGUUUCGGGUGACAGCGGGUGGCUUAACUACCCGAGUGGCCGAAAGACGGUUUGACUUGAGGACGCGAGAGGGACACGGAAUUCCGGGUGGAGUGGUGAAAUGCGUAGAGAUCCGGAGGAACACCGAAGGCGAAGGCAGUGUCCUGGCGCGUAACUGACGCUGAGGUGCGAAAGCCAGGGGAGCGAACGGG